GCCGAUGUAGCUCAGUUGGUAGAGCAGCUGAUUUGUAAUCAGCAGGUCGUGGGUUCGAAUCCAAUCAUCGGCU
rnacentral:tRNA from 1 species